AGAAACUUAGGAUAAUCUAAACCAAGGGCCUUCAAAGUCCUUAAUAAGAGUUAAACCCUCUUAGUUUCUG
rnacentral:tRNA from 1 species